rnacentral:tRNA from 1 species
GGGGUUGUAGCUCAGUGGUAGAGUGCUUGCCUCACACGCAUGAGGCCCUGGGUUCAAUCCUCAGCACCACA